UACGGGGGGGGGUAAGCGUUGUUCGGAAUUACUGGGCGUAAAGGGCUCGUAGGCGGCCUUCUAAGUCAGACGUGAAAUCCCCCGGCUUAACCUGGGAACUGCGUCUGAUACUGGAGGGCUUGAGUGCGGGAGAGGGAUGUGGAAUUCCAGGUGUAGCGGUGAAAUGCGUAGAUAUCUGGAGGAACACCGGUGGCGAAGGCGGCAUCCUGGACCGACACUGACGCUGAGGCGCGAAAGCUAGGGUAGCAAACGGG
rnacentral:rRNA from 1 species